rnacentral:lncRNA from 10 species
CGCUGACCAUUUGUGGAGCACAUUCUGUCUGGAGGCAAAGGAUGCCAAGAUGGGAAAGCCACAUAAUGGAAGGAUCCUGGAUUUCAGAGCUGUCACUUGGAGGAGGGGCACCCAGUGAAGGUGUCUUAUCUAACCCACACCAUAUCUUCAUGAAGUGGCCAUAUGGAUUUGAUCCCUAUCCUUCAGAGGUGCUCAGCCUAAGGGAACACGGAUAGUAGAUUAAGCACUGACCAGGUGAAAAAGAUUGAUCAUCAGAUGUUUCUUAUGUAUCAACCUGAUAUUUAAAUCCAUGAAGGACAGAGACGACAAAG